rnacentral:rRNA from 1 species
CGUAGGGGGCAAGCGUUGUCCGGAAUUAUUGGGCGUAAAGAGCUCGUAGGCGGUUCGGUAAGUCGGGUGUGAAACCCUCAGGCUCAACCUGGGGACGCCACCCGAUACUGCUGUGACUAGAGUCCAGUAGGGGAGUGUGGAAUUCCCGGUGUAGCGGUGAAAUGCGCAGAUAUCGGGAGGAACACCAGCGGCGAAGGCGGCACUCUGGGCUGGAACUGACGCUGAGGAGCGAAAGCGUGGGUAGCAAACAGGAUUAGAUACCCUGGUAGUCCACGCCGUAAACGUUGGGCACUAGGUGUGGGGACCCUCCAACGGUUUCCGUGCCGUAGCUAACGCAUUAAGUGCCCCGCCUGGGGAGUACGGCCGCAAGGCUA